rnacentral:lncRNA from 1 species
UGAAAUUCUUGGGUCAUAAGGUUUGCACAAAAAGCAGCUCUUUUGAGGAACUGAAAGGAACAGGUGGCUUGAAAGAGGAGCGGGGAGCUAAUGAGAUGAGGGGUCAAAAUUUCUCAAGCCCUGUGAACACGGCAAGGAGGCUGAUUUUCAAGAGAUGUGCAGGGGGAGGCCAGGGAGUGACAUGCUCCAAUGACAUUUUAAGAUCACCCUGGAGAGUGAGGUUGGAGACCACCAUGGGGGACAAGGAAACAGAUGAAGCCAAGAACCCUCCCAAGCUAAGCCCCAAUUCUUGGGCUCACCUGUCUUGCAUCACAGCCCACUUUCAAGGGAGGAGAAAAGAGAUUCUCCUGUUUCAUGUGAGGAGCAGCAUGCCCCUGUGGGAAGGGAAGAGUUGGUGGGGGUCUUCUUUGGAUGACACUGGCUACCAAGGAUGGAUUUGGACUUAUUGCUGGCUUGGAUAAAGGCUUUUUGUUUGUUUUUGCUUUGUUUUGGAAUCUACAUGUUGAAAUCAAUUUGAACAGCAGGAAACAUACAUACUUUUCCAGCACAGCCACAGUGUUUGGGAUGCUCAGGGGUCAGAGGCAGAAAUGUCCCCAGCAUUUCACACACACAGAAGAAAGCUUUCUGCAAAGGGCAAUGGAGAGACUUUUUGCUCCUGGCCUAAUAGGGAAAACUUGCCCCUUGUGAUCUUGUUUACCUAAGACCAACAAUUGCCUGAAAGUAUUUCUUAGUGAAUUUCUAACUUGAACUAUUCUCCUCAAAGGCUGCUGCUGCAGAGCAGAAAGAUCAGACUUGGUUUCCGCAAAACACCUGGACUCCAGUUACUUCUUGGCUAACCUAAUGACUUAUGUGACCUUGGGGACAUUACUGAACUUUUUUGUCCUUUGUUUCCUCAUCAAUAAAAUCAGGAUGAUAACCGUA